UGGGGAAUUUUGGACAAUGGGGGAAACCCUGAUCCAGACAUCCCGCGUGUGCGAUGAAGGCCUUCGGGUUGUAAAGCACUUUUGGCAGGAAAGAAACGUCAUGGGUUAAUACCCCGUGAAACUGACGGUACCUGCAGAAUAAGCACCGGCUAACUACGUGCCAGCAGCCGCGGUAAUACGUAGGGUGCAAGCGUUAAUCGGAAUUACUGGGCGUAAAGCGUGCGCAGGCGGUUCGGAAAGAAAGAUGUGAAAUCCCAGAGCUCAACUUUGGAACUGCAUUUUUAACUACCGGGCUAGAGUGUGUCAGAGGGAGGUGGAAUUCCGCGUGUAGCAGUGAAAUGCGUAGAUAUGCGGAGGAACACCGAUGGCGAAGGCAGCCUCCUGGGAUAACACUGACGCUCAUGCACGAAAGCGUGGGGAGCAAACAGG
rnacentral:rRNA from 1 species